UAUAGGGUCUUUAGGGUUUUUGGAGUUGAUCUAAAAAAGCAAGUAUACAGUGUUGUUCUAUGAUGGUAUAGUAACAGAUUCACGAUGAGUUUGAAAUAUUUCAUGUAGAGCCCCUUAUGCGAUUGCCAUUUGAAAUAGCAAUAAAAAAGUUUGUAAAUUUCAAGAAAAAGAAAGAAAUGUGAGUAGAAAAUCCGCGAAAUUAGAGACAUAAAUCUGCUAAAUUAACAUUUUGUGUACAGUUCUCUGAUAACAAAAUACAUUCAAUCAUAAUUAUAUUCAAAGUUAAACAGUAUUACCAUGCCUAAGAAGGCUAAAAAUCAUAUUGAUUGCCGAAAGGUAGUUUGUGUGACAUGUGGAGUUAAAAGUUUAAAAUGUAAGUUGUGGAGAAGGGGAGAUAUUGCAAGACUUUAUAAAAAUCUUCAUUAACCCAGAUUUCAACUCAAAUAUUCUCUCCAACCCUGUCGGAAUCUGCAUAUCCUGUAAAUGUCGGUUAAAUGAUCUACGCCGAGGUGAGAAUGUAUCUGUAAAUGUGCUUAUGAAGUGGAUUUUUAAUACUGAAAGGCUGAAAUUAUUACCGAGAUUUAAAGAAGAACCUGGUGAUCUCAGGACAUUUGACGGUCUUGAUAUGAAUUACUCAGCUUAUAAAGAAAAUGGCUCUAAUAACAUGAAGAAUUACAAGAAUGUAAUCAAACCAAGUUUACUGAAGGAAUCAAAUAAUACCCAUGUUCUGGAUGUUGUACCCCCUCCAGAGCUGCAUUUGCUGAUGAAAAUCGUAACUGUGUGUGCUCCGCUUCUUUGUAAUCAGCAAGCUGUCGCUAACUGGUUUAAAGCUUCUGGAAUUAUAUUCCAUGGUUAUAAUGGUGUAGGUCUAGA